UACAGAGGGUGCGAGCGUUAAUCGGGAUUACUGGGCGUAAAGCGCACGUAGGUGGCGACGUAAGUCGGGCGUGAAAGCCCCGGGCUCAACCUGGGAAUUGCAUUCGAGACUGCAUUGCUGGAGUACGGAAGAGGAGGGCGGAAUUCCCGGUGUAGCGGUGCAAUGCGUAGAUAUCGGGAGGAACAUCAGUGGCGAAGGCGCCGCUCUGGUCCAGUACUGGCACUCGAGUGCGACGUCGUGCGGCGCCGCUAGG
rnacentral:rRNA from 1 species